rnacentral:rRNA from 1 species
GACGAACGCUGGCGGCGUGCUUAACACAUGCAAGUCGAACGGAAAGGCCCUGCUUUUGUGGGGUGCUCGAGUGGCGAACGGGUGAGUAACACGUGAGUAACCUGCCCUUGAUUUUGGGAUAACUUCAGGAAACUGGGGCUAAUAUCGGAUAGGAGCCCCUGCUGCAUGGAGGGGGUUGGAAAGUUUCGGCGUUCGGGGAUGGACUCGCGGCUUAUCAGCUUGUUGGUGGGGUAGUGGCUUACCAAGGCUGUGACGGGUAGCCGGCCUGAGAGGGUGACCGGCCACAUUGGGACUGCGGUACGGACCAGAGUCCUACGGGAGGCAGUAGGGGGAAAUAUUGAACAGUCAGAGCGAGCCUGAUGCGGCAGCGCCGGGUGUGGGAUGACGGCCUUCGGGUUGUAAACAGCUUUCGCCUGUGACGAAGCGUGAGUGACGGUAAUGAGAGAAGAAGCACCGGCUAACUACGUG